rnacentral:lncRNA from 1 species
GUGUGUUUAAGUGGGUGGGCUCCUUUGCCCCCAGAAAAGAAAGAAGGAUUUGUUAUGAGCCCCCGUAGCAAAGGGUAUGGAGGGGAGAAGUGGGGGCCGAGAGAGAUCAGAGACUUGACUGGAGGGUUGAAUGGAGGCUCUGGGGGAUGAGUGAUGCUGAGCUCUUAGAGAGAGUGACAGUAGAAAAGUCGAGCUGGCAGAGAAGCCAGGGAAGGCUGGGCAGCAAGAACUGAAGAUGGGAUGGCAGAUAGCAUCCUCAAUAAGGAACUAGGAAGCCCAAGGAGCUUCAUUGCGAGUGGGAACCAAAAAAAUUCCAGUACUGACCACAAGGUGACGCCAGACACCCGUGGAUGUAAUGGGUCUUCCCCUCCUGGUGGGCUCCAGAAGCUGGCGAUGGGACCAAGCCCUCCAAAUUCAAAGGAAACCGAGAGGUCUGCAUCCGCGGAAAGUUACUCUGGUUUAAGAAUAAUAUACAGCACACGGAAAAUAAGAAAAAAUGUCUUUAUUAAAGAGACGGGGAGGGUUGGGCCAGAGACUAGACCAGCAGUCUGCAAUCCUUCUGUGAAGGGAACUUAAAAGAUUUUUCCACGGAACCCCUUGACAGGACAAGGAGAGCCAAGAGUGGAAAGUCCAGACGUUACGUUAAGGGGCGGAGACGAGCCUUUAGAGAAGAAGAAAUGCCUUCUGACUGAUGGAUUUACAUUUACUGGAAUUCUUCAGUGACACGAUAAACGAGUCAGCAAGCCCAGCAGGAUUGAAUAACAAGUAGAAAUGCAUUCUAUCAGAUUCAUCUUCUCUGAGAAUGCACUGUGGUAGCUUUGCUCUUGUUUUCAAAUGUAUGGUAUCAAUUGUGCCAGCCAAUAUUCUCCUUCUGGAGCCUAUACUGUCCCAACCUCGGCCAGGAGGAGCCCUGUAUAGAUUGUUCCUCGUGUAAUUUUGAAUGACCCUUAUUUAACGCUUUGCUUUCUGUCCAAAAAAGGUGUAAGUAUUCUAGGAUCACUGUACCUUUCAACCCCAGGCUGACAUGGCAUCCACUAUUGGUGCCAAGAAACUUUGGCUCCUUUGAGAGAAAAUAACACUAGAAACCAAAAUCUUAGCAUUAAGAUGCAUUAUGGAGGUGACAUUUCUCCUGGGCCAUUUCAGUGGAAAAAAAAGUCAAAAUAUUUUUAAUGUAAUGUUUCAUAAAGUCAUGACUUCAUAUUAAUAUAUUCAAUUCCAUUCCAACAGUGCCCUGUUCUUACUCAAAUUGGGAGUCUACAAUUAGCCUUCCUUGUCACUAAUCCUGAUAUCUAGAUUCCUAUCAAAAUAUACAUUAUUUACUUGCUUUAUCUGAUAAUAGUUGAAAAAAUACCCUGUCAAUACGAAUAGUAUAAAUGCUGAAUAAAGUUUUUUAGACUACAUACACCUAAGGGUUUGUCACCAAGUUACUUUUUUUGUUUUUCUUUUUCACUUUACUUCAACUCAAUUUUUCUGGCCACUGUCGCCAAGUUACUUUGUUCUAUGAUCACCCAUGAUCUCUCACACCAUGUGACUAUGUGGGGACUUAUCCGACAGAUAGUUUUGGGUCCAUUGUUUCCAUCCACUUUCAUUGUGAGGAGGCUGCAACUUCCCCUCAGCCCCUGUUUUCUGCUCUACCUUUUCAUUUUACCGUGACUUACAAACGCCCAACAUCCUAACUAAUUCACUUCAUAAUAAUACUUUGUUAUUGUGUUAUUACUUUUCCCUUACCCCGUUGGAGUGUAAGCCUCGUGGAGCAGGGGUUUUAUUCACUGGACCCUGGCAGUUGUACCCUGAAGGCAGGACUAAGAAGGCUGGGCUUGAUUCUGGGGGCCAAGGGGACUCUAGUGGGUCGGGCUGCAAGAGACAGUCUUCACUGAAACAGCAGAAGCCGCUCUAGGCUGCUCCCAGUUACUCAUUUCCCCCAACCACCACCACCACCACAAGCACUUCCCCCAAUUCCUGCAGGACUCAGUGAGAGGCUAUGAAAACAAAGCAAGCCAGCAGUGCUGAGCCUGGGCCCCCAGACUCAGUAACUGGGCAACUGGGCAAUUGGAGCUUCUAGGAAAAAAGUGUGGCAGAAAGCUGAGCCUUAUGAUGAGAAAGCUGUGCCGGCUCCUGGUUUGCCCAGAGAAGUUCCACUUUACAGCUGCGGUCCUGCUGUAAUUAUGAAUCACAUUCCUUUUCACUCAUGAUCUCUCAUUGCAUUGGAGGGGGGAGGGAGGAGGGCUGGGACUCAGGAUAGAAGUGCUCCAGGGCAGAGGGAAAUGGUAGAGAAGGCAGUCCCUCCACAAGUGGGGCUUGGCAUGGCUGGGGCAUCAUAAAUGCAUGUUCAGGACAUGGAGAGACAACAGAAGAAUCAAGAGAAAUUUCUGUAUAUGUAUAUAUACCAAAAAGCGGAUGGGCACUGGGACUAGUUGUGAGAGACUCAAGUAGAGGGAGGUGGGGUCCUUUCUUGGUUCUGGGCCUGGGCUGGGGCAGAAGGAUAGUGCCCCUCACCACCCACCAUAAGGGGGCAGGAAGAGAGAGGAGGGAGGGCGAUGACUGGUAGAGUAAUAUGGUCUUUGUUUUUGCAAACUGAAAGUGUGUUUCCAGUUCAGGUCAAAUAUAAAAUUAGCACACACUCUAACAGACAACACAGAGAAGCAUACAGAAUAACAAAGGAAAAGGAGGAACAGGUCUUCAGCGAUCUCAUGCUCCUGGAGAGACCCCUCCAGGUGGUGAAGGGCUGUGGCCUCUGGAAAACACUCAGUUGAUGCGGUUAGACUGUCCCACCACUGGGCUGGCUGGAAAGAGUCCAGGAAGCGGGGAUGGAGAGAAGCCAACACAGGCUCCUGAGCUUUGAGAGGGUUAGAAGGCAAGGUGCAGGCCCUGCUCAUCAAUCCCUUCACCCCUCAACAAGUUUCCUCCCCCCAUUCCUUCUCUGCAGUUGGCUCUUUUCUUUACCUGGUAGGGGAAAGGAGUGGGUAGAGGCUUCCAGAGGUGGGUCCUAAAUGAGCAGAUUAAGAGGGGCUGGGGAUACCGUGAGUAAGCUGUCAAGGAAAAGAGGGUCCCCCAGGGAUUUCCUGUGGGGUAGGGCCUCCAGGAAAGGCCCAGGAUCACCCUGACCAGGUGAGGCUUAUGCCAGUUGCCUCAACUGGGGUUCUCAUGCAGCCAGAGGCUGGCUCUACCCAGGCAGCCCCAGGUUCUGGACUCCUGGAGCUCCUCCUCCCCGACCCCCAGUCCUCUUGACCAAAGGUGUCCUUUGGAGCCUCUCUGGACUUGAAGUUGACAAUGUACCUAGAACUUUAAAGACACUUUUGGGCAGGGUGGCCCCUUUUUAUUUGCUAAAUUCUGUACUUUAGCAGCUCUACAGGAAAAACAUCGCACACAUUACUGACUUCUGCAUUCUCAGCGCACUGCACACACACAUUUCACCUGCUGUCCGCAGUGUGCACACUGUCAACACUUUACAGUAGUUCAUGGAUCUGCUGUGUUCACACACAUCGCAUUUUCAGUGUAGCUGUGACCUUCCUCCAGGUCACCUAUUGUAGUGCUCGCUGAGCCAUUCACCUCUGUACCGGCAUUUGGCUUGAAGUGAAAUCAACACCAUUGCUCCCAUUCUUCCUUUUCUCUCAAGGAUUCUUCCAGGAACGUGGGCUGUCCAAGCCACCCAGCGUGUAGAGUGUUUGAUCAUUCUUAUCACACAUUUGCAUCCUGCUCUCCAGAAACACGGAAUCAGUCAGACUGUAGUGUCACCAGUUCCCUCGAGCCUCGAAAGUGUAGGAUGUAUAUAUGUGUACAUGUGUGUAUAUAUGGAGAGAGACUCAUGUGUGUGUGUGUGUGUGUGUGUGUGUGUGUGUGUGUUUAGCAGGUGUGUAGUUAAUUCUUCCAUUACAGAUGAGAAAACAUAGGACCGAAGGAAUGAAGUCACUUUUCCCAGGGUUGCUCAGCCAGCAAAUGGCAGCCCUCAGCCUAGAGGUCACAUCUCCUAACCCCCAGUCAGUGCUCUGUUAGACAAACCAGUCUGCCUCUGAUGGAUGCUUCUAGAUGUGUAGACAACAGGCUCUUCCUACUUCUCUCACCCCUUGUUGGUGGAGGAAAACAGAAACACAACUCAUCCCCUCAUGGUUUCAAUGUCAUGCAGACCAGGUUCUCAGCUUC